rnacentral:rRNA from 2 species
AGUCGAGCGGAUCGAUGGGAGCUUGCUCCCUGAGAUCAGCGGCGGACGGGUGAGUAACACGUGGGUAACCUGCCUGUAAGACUGGGAUAACUCCGGGAAACCGGGGCUAAUACCGGAUAACACCUACCCCCGCAUGGGGGAAGGUUGAAAGGUGGCUUCGGCUAUCACUUACAGAUGGACCCGCGGCGCAUUAGCUAGUUGGUGAGGUAACGGCUCACCAAGGCGACGAUGCGUAGCCGACCUGAGAGGGUGAUCGGCCACACUGGGACUGAGACACGGCCCAGACUCCUACGGGAGGCAGCAGUAGGGAAUCUUCCGCAAUGGACGAAAGUCUGACGGAGCAACGCCGCGUGAGUGAAGAAGGUUUUCGGAUCGUAAAACUCUGUUGUUAGGGAAGAACAAGUACCGUUCGAAUAGGGCGGUACCUUGACGGUACCUAACCAGAAAGCCACGGCUAACUACGUGCCAGCAGCCGCGGUAAUACGUAGGUGGCAAGCGUUGUCCGGAAUUAUUGGGCGUAAAGCGCGCGCAGGUGGUUUCUUAAGUCUGAUGUGAAAGCCCACGGCUCAACCGUGGAGGGUCAUUGGAAACUGGGGAACUUGAGUGCAGAAGAGGAAAGUGGAAUUCCAAGUGUAGCGGUGAAAUGCGUAGAUAUUUGGAGGAACACCAGUGGCGAAGGCGACUUUCUGGUCUGUAACUGACACUGAGGCGCGAAAGCGUGGGGAGCAAACAGGAUUAGAU